UACGAAGGGGGCUAGCGUUGUUCGGAAUUACUGGGCGUAAAGCGCGUGUAGGCGGGUCUUUAAGUCAGAGGUGAAAUGCCAAGGCUCAACCUUGGAACUGCCUUUGAUACUGGAGAUCUUGAGUCCGGGAGAGGUGAGUGGAAUUGCGAGUGUAGAGGUGAAAUUCGUAGAUAUUCGCAAGAACACCAGUGGCGAAGGCGGCUCACUGGCCCGGUACUGACGCUGAGGUGCGAAAGCGUGGGGAGCAAACAGG
rnacentral:rRNA from 1 species